CAGGCCUAACACAUGCAAGUCGAGCGGGCCCUUCGGGGUCAGCGGCGGACGGGUGAGUAACGCGUGGGAACGUGCCUUCUGGUCUGGAAUAACCCUGGGAAACUAGGGCUAAUACCGGAUACGCCCUUUUGGGGAAAGGUUUACUGCCGGAAGAUCGGCCCGCGUCUGAUUAGCUAGUUGGUGGGGUAACGGCCUACCAAGGCGACGAUCAGUAGCUGGUCUGAGAGGAUGAUCGGCCACACUGGGACUGAGACACGGCCCAGACUCCUACGGGAGGCAGCAGUGGGGAAUAUUGGACAAUGGGCGCAAGCCUGAUCCAGCCAUGCCGCGUGAGUGAUGAAGGCCUUAGGGUUGUAAAGCUCUUUUAUCCGGGACGAUAAUGACGGUACCGGAGGAAUAAGCCCCGGCUAACUUCGUGCCAGCAGCCGCGGUAAU
rnacentral:rRNA from 1 species